rnacentral:tmRNA from 1 species
GGGGCUGACUUGGAUUUCGACAGAUUUCUUGUCGCACAGACAGCAUGCCAAGCACUGCUUGUAAAACAGCAACAAAAAUAACUGUAAACAACACAGAUUACGCUCCAGCUUACGCUAAAGCUGCGUGAGUUAAUCUCCUUUUGGAGCUGGACUGAUUAGAAUUUCUAGCGUUUUGAUCACUCCAUAACCUUAAGCUAGACGCUUUUAAAAGGUGGUUCGCCUUUUAAACUAAGAAAACAAGAACUCUUGAAACUACCUCAAGGUUUUAGAAAGUUGGACCAGAGUUAGUUUUAAGGCUAAAAAACUAAUCAAUUUUCUAAGCAUUGUAGAAGUUUGUGUUUAGGACAAGAUUUUUGGACUGGGGUUCGAUUCCCCACAGCUCCACCA